UCUUUUUUUUAGUAUAAAUUUUAUCUUGUGAUCAUUACUAAACAAAUCAUAAUGAUAUCUACAAAUGGCAGAAACAAGAGAAACACUGACUGUUCAAACUCAGAAAUAUCAUUAGAGUCAAGAAGCACACAUAAACAUGAAACAGCGAUCUUCUCCAAAGUGAACAUUUCAACAAGGAGCCACUGUGGCUUUAUUCCAGUUCCUUGAAGUUUACGCACCCACACUGCUGUCCACAGAACAGGUGGCAGCAGAGGAGCAGUGUGACAGAAUGGCAUC